CGCUCCACAGGCAUGUUGCCGGGUAGGAACACAUGACCUCCAGGGCUGUAUCCAACGACGCUCCACAGGCCUGUUGCCGGGUAGGAACACAUGACCUCCAGGGCUGUAUCCAACGACGCGCCACAGGCAUGUUGCCAGAAGACCUCUGCUAUUCUCUGCUGGUUUAAUAGCCGUGGAGGUGUCCUGUAGUUGCCAGGAUUGGUGUCACGUUGCAGAAGGAUGGGAUCCAGGCACAGUGUCACGUUGCAGAAGGAUGGGAUCCAGGACAGUGUCACGUUGCAGAAGGAUGGGAUCCAGGCACAGUGUCACGUUGCAGAAGGAUGGGAUCGAGGCACAGUGUCACGUUGCAGAAGGAUGGGAUCCAGGCACAGUGUCACGUUGCAGAAGGAUGGGAUCCAGGCACAGUGUCACGUUGCAGAAGGAUGGGAUCCAGGCACAGUGUCACGUUGCAGAAGGAUGGGAUCCAGGCACAGUGUCACGUUGCAGAAGGAUGGGAUCCAGGCACAGUGUCACGUUGCAGAAGGAUGGGAUCCAGGCACAGUGUCACGUUGCAGAAGGAUGGGAUCCAGGCACAGUGUCACGUUGCAGAAGGAUGGGAUCCAGGCACAGUGUCACGUUGCAGAAAGAUGGGAUCCAGGCACAGUGUCAAGUUGCAGAAGGAUGGGAUCCAGGCACAGCAAUAAGUAAUGGGGUUUUUUAAUUCACUACCCAAAACAAAAGAGCGAGGUGUAAACCUCUAAAUAAUUCAUGGGACGAGACCCGUAAUAACAAGUGCACAAAAAUACCCGUAGCACCAAAAACCGAAUAAAACAGAGCACAGGUACUCACAAGACCACCGGACAUAGGACAAUGAUCGACAAGAACAAUGGGGAACAUAUAUACACAUACUAUAGGGCACAUAUAUACACAUACUAAUCAGGGGGAAUGGGAACCAGGUGUGCGUAAUGAGACAGUACAGUCCGGGGUUGGUGGUGAUGAUCCAGUUCAGUGACUUCUAGAAGGCUGUUGACAUCGACCUCCCGAGCUGGUGAACGGAAUGAGCAGCAGUACCGGGGGAUCCCUGACAAUUGGAGGCAUUUCCAUUGCAGGCUACUUUGCACUCCGCCAUAUUUGUCACACACUGUAAUAAUUGUGAUAAAGGCUCAAUGACUCACACUGACUUACUGUAAGUCUUCCGAUACUCCGCAUUAAACACACCACUCUCUCAAACCAUAAACAGAAAUUGUCCAGUGGUUCAUCAGCUAACUGAAAUCUGCUUCAGAUGUGCAAUGAGACGUGCUUGAAAUAAUGUGGCCCUUUAAAAUAAACAGACUACAUUACCGGAGUAUCUGUAAAAUCAGUGGAAUUACUGGUUUUCUCAUCCAGUUUUUAAAUGUAAUAUUUGCAUCGUAGAGGAAGUAGUUUGUUGGCAUUAUACGUGAUUGGUUGGAUUUUCUUGUUUAAUUAAAAUUGAAAGGUUCAGCACAGUUGAAAAAAUAUAUGGCAAAUAGAAAUCCAAUAGGAAUAGAAUUCUACUAGAAUUCUCUUUAUACCGAAAGAGCGUCCAUCUGUGGAGCUGUGGAAUUCUGCUCUAUACCCAAAGAGCUUCCAUCUGUGGAGCUGUGGAAUUCUGCUCUAUACCCAAAGAGCUUCCAUCUGUGGAACGGUGGAAUUCUGAUGUAUUUAGUGGAUCUAUUCAACCAUCACUGCUCAUCUGAGGUAAAGAUCAUAUAGGGCAGGCAGUGAAUACAUUCUCCACACCUCUCCUUAUCCUUCCCUUCUUCCUGACACGACAUCUUCUUCUUUAUCCCCUAUCUUUAUGCAUUUCAUACCACUUCCAGAUCUAUGCUGGCUGGCUGGGCGCUUCAGUGAGUCACGUGGGCUGGCUGUCUCCCGUGCUGAUUCAGAGUGGGGUCUAACUCACGUCUCAAGAUGGAUUGGUCUCAUAAAGCGCAGAGGGACAUGAUCCCUGGAGGGCCGUGAAUAAGCUGUGCUUUGUUUUAUGACCACUCCACUUGAAGAGUUCAUUAGUAAAGAAGGCCCUGGAACGCUCAGUGAGACCCAACACUAUGCAACUGUUAUAUAAUUGAAAAUAGUGGGCUCAGAUUGCUCCCCCCCCCCUCUAAUAGCUUUCCUUGAAUCAGAUGGGAGGGGGAAGAAAAUGGCUAGAGGCUAAACUUGUAUAGAAUAGCUCAUCCACAAACCAAAGUGUACCUUACCCAGACAGCAAAAUGAUUAUGGACCAAAUCCGGCCCAUAUCUACAAUAGCCUAGUUUGGACUAGGUGAGGCCGGGCUACUUUUCAUUUGGCCUGAGAGGCUUGUAACUCUGUGCCUGAUUCAGGUGUUUCAACUGGCCAGGGCUUGAGGAGAACAUCACUGCAUACUCCACCCAACACCAGGAUCUAUCCCGCUGCACCCAUACACUUUCACCCAUGUUGUUCAUUUAGAAAUUGCAUGUGCAAAUCUCUCUCUGCUGAUCUUGGCUUCACACUUUUCUCAGCUUGGCCUGAUGAAGGACUGUAAGAGUUGGCUGGGCUAUUAGGCAGAUGUUUAAACAUAGAUUAAUGCGUGCACCAAUUACCAAUAAUUACCAUACCAAAGACUGUAUGAAUGGCAUCCGAUGCGCAUCUGCUUGGCACUCAGCAUUAAGGAGAUAGACUAUAGCAUUCUGUUCAGGGGGUGUCCGAGGCUAAUGAGGUACCUUUUCAGGUACUGAGAAAACAGUGAAAAGGGAAAGCCACUAGCACUCACUGGCUCACCUGGAGAUACAUGUAACUUGCAGUGGUGGAAAAAGUAUCCAAUUGUCACAUUUGAGUAAAAGUAAAGAUAGCUUAAUAGAAAAUGACUCAAGUAAAAGUGAAAGUCACCCAGUAAAAUACUACUAAAAGUAUUUGGUUUUAAAUAUACUUAGCUAUCAAAAGUAAAUGGAAUUGCUAAAAUAUAGUUAAGUAUCAAAAGUAAAAGUAUAAAUCAUUUAAAAUUCCUUAUAUUAAGCAAACCAGAUGGCGCCAUUUUCAUGUUGUUUUUUUAUUUACAGAAAGCCAGGUGCACGCUCCCACACUCACACAUCAUUUACAAACUAAGCAUGAGUGCGCCAGAUCAGAGGCAGUAGGGAUGACUAGGGAUUUUCUCUUGAUAAGUAUGUGAAUUAGACAAUUUUCCUGUCCUGCUAAACAUUCAAAAUGUAACGAGUACUUUUGGGUGUCAGGGAAAAUGCAUCGAGGUAAAAGUACAUUAUUGUCUUUAGGAAUGUGCUGAAAUAAAAGUAAAAGUUGACAAAAAUAUAAAUAAUAAAGUAAAGUACAGACACCCCAAAAACCGACUUAAGUAGUACUUUAAAAUAUUUUUACUUAAGUACUUUACACCGCUGGUGUUGUGGUGUUGGAAACCAGGCUAUUUACCACUUACCACCCAGCCCAGUUUCCACUUACGGUCCAGGUCUGGUUGCCAUUGGCCUAAUGCUUACAUUUCGACUAAAAGUGGCCCAGCAGUUACAUACCAAAAGCUAGAGCUGGCCCAUAAGAAAGGUUCCAGUGCAUCCUUUCACAGAGUGCAUCUUCCACAUUCGGACCAGAUCUGUCCCAUAUGAUGCAUUGCCGUACCAGCACUGAGUCCUCUGCCACCAAACAUCCAGAACAGGCCAGUAUUGUUGUCUGUUGUCUGGGUACCAUUAUAACACUUGUUGAAAUCUGAGAGGGCAGAUUCCUUUCUUCAAUUCAGAUAAAUGAAGAAUGUCACUAAGAAAAGCCAUUCACUCCAAUUAUCUCAUCUUCAGGAUUUAUUUAACUGGAAUAAUUGGCAUUUUAAUGUUCUGUGGCUGUCCCAUGUUAGACUUUAUCUCUACAGACCAGCUAUGUGGAUUUCUCUAUAGCCUAUUGUCAUUUUGUAAGUACUUUUGAUUCCCAAAAUAACUUUAAGUGAUGCAAAAUGAAAAAAUGAGCAUAUAGUGAAUAGAGAAAAUGCCUCCACUGGACAGGAACUAUGACAGAUGACAAUGUGCUCCAGCUGAAUCUAUCACUAAAACACCUGACAUCUGUUGUUGGUUGUUUCAUUUCACCUUUAUUUAACCAGGCAAGUCAGUUAAGAACAAAUUAUUAUUUUCAACGACGGCCUAGGAACAGUGGGUUAACUGCCUUGUUCAGGGGCAGAACAACAGAUUUGUACCUUGUCAGCUCAGUGGUUCGAUCUUGCAACCUUUCGGUUACUAGUCCAAAGCUCUAACCACUAGGCUACGCUGUCCCUAAAGAAAUUAUAUUAAACAAUGGUAGUAGGAGACACCAUAUUUCCAGUAGUACAAAAUGAACGUCUUCAGUAAGGGGUGAGAUGUGAGGCUGUCCUAAAAUGUACGCCAUAACCCUUUUAAAAUGAAUCACACUACUGCUCCUAGGCUACUUUUUGUCUUCCAAAAUAACACUCAUAGUGGCACCACUGGUGGGAUAAGAGCCAUGCUUCAAGGGAAGGAGGAUCCAACGCAGAAUCCACUCACAAGUGAUUUGAUUCAAAACACCUCCUGAACUGAAUCUGUUUGUUAUCCUGUUACUGUUACAUUUUCUGUGGGGGUUAUUUUUAUUGCCAAGGUUAUGUUGUAAGUGUUUCUUGAAUCUCCAUGAUAAAAAAAGCAUUGUGAACAGAAUCACCACUACUUAUGUUCUUAUUUAUACAUCCUCCCUGUAGUCCUCAUGUCCCCUAACCCCUAUAACCCUCCCCUAACCCCUAUGAUGGUCCUGGUCAGUCCCUGGAUGGGAGACGAGAUGCUGCUGGAAGUGGUGUUGGAGGGCCAGUAGGAGGCACUCUUUCCUCUGGUCUAAAAAUAUCCCAAUGCCCCAGGGCAGUGAUUGGGGACACUGCCCUGUGUAGGGUGCCGUCUUUCGGAUGGGACGCUAAACGGGUGUCCUGACUCUCUGAGGUCAUUAAAGAUCCCAUGGCACUUAUCGUAAGAGUAGGGGUGUUAACCCCGGUGUCCUGGCUAAAUUCCCAAUCUGGCCCUCAAACCAUCAUGGUCACCUAAUAAUCCCCAGUUUACAAUUGGCUCAUUCAUCCCCCUCCUCUCCCCUGUAACUAUUCCCCAGGUC